GCCUGCUUGGCUAAGUGGUUACGGCGCCGCACUUGUACGGAUUAUUGUAAUCAAAGAAUGCGGCGAUCACUCGUUCGAUUCGGGUAGCAGGCA